UGGGGAAUAUUGCGCAAUGGGGGAAACCCUGACGCAGCGACGCCGCGUGUGGGAUGAAGGUCUUCGGAUUGUAAACCACUGUCGCGAGGGACGAAGCUCUGACGGUACCUCGAAAGGAAGCACCGGCUAACUCUGUGCCAGCAGCCGCGGUAAUACAGAGGGUGCGAGCGUUGUCCGGAAUCACUGGGCGUAAAGGGCGCGUAGGCGGCCCGGUAAGUAGGGGGUGAAAUCUCAUGGCUCAACUGUGAGGCUGCCUUCUAGACUGCCAGGCUUGAGCACAGUAGAGGCGAGUGGAAUUCCCGGUGUAGCGGUGGAAUGCGUAGAGAUCGGGAAGAACAUCGGUGGCGAAGGCGGCUCGCUGGGCUGUUGCUGACGCUGAGGCGCGAAAGCGUGGGGAGCAAACAGGAUUAGAUACCCCUGUAGUCCCUUGAGCGGGCUGGCAAGGCGCAU
rnacentral:rRNA from 1 species